UGAGGAAUAUUGGUCAAUGGGCGAGAGCCUGAACCAGCCAAGUCGCGUGCAGGAAGAAUGUCCUAUGGAUUGUAAACUGCUUUUGCAGGGGAAUAAAGUGAGCCACGUGUGGUUUUUUGUAUGUACUCUGCGAAUAAGGAUCGGCUAACUCCGUGCCAGCAGCCGCGGUAAUACGGAGGAUCCGAGCGUUAUCCGGAUUUAUUGGGUUUAAAGGGUGCGUAGGCGGGAUAAUAAGUCAGUGGUGAAAGUUUGCAGCUUAACUGUAAAAUUGCCGUUGAAACUGUUAUUCUUGAGAGUAGAUAAGGUAGGCGGAAUGUGUUGUGUAGCGGUGAAAUGCAUAGAUAUAACACAGAACCCCGAUUGCGAAGGCAGCUUACCGGGCUACAUCUGACGCUGAUGCACGAAAGCGUGGGGAUCAAACA
rnacentral:rRNA from 1 species